UGCAUUCACUACUGUAAGUCGCUCUGGAUAAGAGCGUCUGCUAAAAAUGACUAUAA
rfam:Salmo salar isolate Sally breed double haploid chromosome ssa18, whole genome shotgun sequence.